UUCCAGACUCCUACGGGAGGCAGCAGUGGGGAAUAUUGCACAAUGGGGGAAACCCUGAUGCAGCGACGCCGCGUGAGCGAUGAAGUAUUUCGGUAUGUAAAGCUCUCUCAGCAGGGAAGAAAAUGACGGUACCUGACUAAGAAGCCCCGGCUAACUACGUGCCAGCAGCCGCGGUAAUACGUAGGGGGCAAGCGUUAUCCGGAUUUACUGGGUGUAAAGGGAGCGUAGACGGUCCUGCAAGCCAGAUGUGAAAGCCCGGGGCUCAACCCCGGGACUGCAUUUGGAACUGUAAGGCUAGAGUGUCGGAGAGGCGGGCGGAAUUCCCAGUGUAGCGGUGAAAUGCGUAGAUAUCAGGAGGAACACCGGCGGCGAAGGCGGCCUGCUGGACCGUGACUGCCGUUGAGGCUCGAGAGCGUGGGGAGCAAACAGGAUUAGAUACCCGUGUACA
rnacentral:rRNA from 1 species